rnacentral:rRNA from 1 species
CGCAGAUACCAGGUGGCUGCAACUGUUUAUUAAAAACACAGCACUGUGCAAAAUCGUAAGAUGACGUAUACGGUGUGACGCCUGCCCGGUGCCGGAAGGUUAAUUGAUGGGGUUAGCGUAAGCGAAGCUCUUGAUCGAAGCCCCGGUAAACGGCGGCCGUAACUAUAACGGUCCUAAGGUAGCGAAAUUCCUUGUCGGGUAAGUUCCGACCUGCACGAAUGGCGUAAUGAUGGCCACGCUGUCUCCACCCGAGACUCAGUGAAAUUGAAAUCGCUGUGAAGAUGCAGUGUACCCGCGGCUAGACGGAAAGACCCCGUGAACCUUUACUACAGCUUGGCACUGAACAUUGAACCUACAUGUGUAGGAUAGGUGGGAGGCUUUGAAGACGUGACGCCAGUUGCGUUGGAGCCGUCCUUGAAAUACCACCCUUGUAUGUUUGAUGUUCUAACGUUGGCCCCUAAUCGGGGUUGCGGACAGUGCCUGGUGGGUAGUUUGACUGGGGCGGUCUCCUCCCAAAGAGUAACGGAGGAGCACGAAGGUGGGCUAAUCACGGUUGGACAUCGUGAGGUUAGUGCAAUGGCAUAAGCCCGCUUAACUGCGAGAAUGACGGUUCGAGCAGGUGCGAAAGCAGGUCAUAGUGAUCCGGUGGUUCUGAAUGGAAGGGCCAUCGCUCAACGGAUAAAAGGUACUCCGGGGAUAACAGGCUGAUACCGCCCAAGAGUUCAUAUCGACGGCGGUGUUUGGCACCUCGAUGUCGGCUCAUCACAUCCUGGGGCUGAAGUCGGUCCCAAGGGUAUGGCUGUUCGCCAUUUAAAGUGGUACGCGAGCUGGGUUUAGAACGUCGUGAGACAGUUCGGUCCCUAUCUGCCGUGGGCGUUGGAAGAUUGAAGGGGGCUGCUCCUAGUACGAGAGGACCGGAGUGGACGAACCUCUGGUGUUCGGGUUGUGUCGCCAGACGCAUUGCCCGGUAGCUAAGUUCGGAAUCGAUAACCGCUGAAAGCAUCUAAGCGGGAAGCGAGCCCUGAGAUGAGUCUUCCCUGAUACUUUAAGUAUCCUGAAGGGUUGUUCGAGACUAGAACGUUGAUAGGCAGGGUGUGUAAGCGCUGUGAGGCGUUGAGCUAACCUGUACUAAUUGCCCGUGAGGCUUAACCAU